rnacentral:tRNA from 1 species
GGGAUCGUGGCUUAGCGGUAGAGCACUUGCUUAGCACUUGCUUAGCACGUGCAAGGCCCUGGGUUCGAUCCUCAGCACCUCA